ACGAUAUAAGGAGAAAGAAAGUGAAGAGAGUAAGAGGAGAGAGAAAAUAAAGGAAGAGAAAAUGAAAAGAGUGAGGAAAAAGAAUGUGAAGAAAGAUAAACUGUGUAAAAAUAAAAUAAGGAGAGAGAGAGGAUAAAGAUAAAAGAGAGAGAGAAUAGAGAAAAAGUAAAAAAAGAAAAAUAAAGAAAAAAAUUGUAAGAAAAAAGAAAAUUAAAAGAAAAAGUAAGGAGAGAGAAAUUAGAAAGGAAUAAUGUAUAAAGGUUUUGUUAGGAUUUCCAUAUAUUGUGGCCAAAUUAAUUAUAUUUAAAUUAGGAUUUACCAUACAUAAAGAUCAAUCCUAAUAGAUAUAGAACUACUUGAUAUGGUAUAUUUUAUCCAUAUCCUAUCUAUAUUAAAUUUAAAUAGAAUCCUAAUUAGACUUUGAUGGGAAGUCGAUCUGGACUCUAUAUAAAAGGGUAUUGGUCCUGCCACCUUUUCAUACGUAUUCUGGUGAAAAAUUACCAUCGGUUCCACACCAUACAAAAAUUACCGAAGUCGUAUGUAUUUAAUUUUCUUCUUAUUUUACAUACUUAGAAAAUCUAUCAGGUUUCACUUAUUUUUAAUAUAUUAUUUUCUCACCUUCUUUAACUUACUCUCCCCCUAGGAUAAUAAAUUUAAAUUAUUGGAGGCUAAAGGGAAGUGAAAUGUUUUUUUUUUUUUUUUUGAGAGAUAGGUAGCACGCUACCCGCUUCGUUUAUUUCAUUUAGAAAUAAACUUAGCUGGAAAUAUGAAUCAACUAGGAUUCGAACUUGGGACCUCGGGUACCAACCGCCAUGCCCUUUGCCACUUGUUCUAGGGACAGUCAGUAGGGAAGUGAAAUGUUUAUCUCUCGUAAAGAGGCUUAAGGGUAUGUUUGUUUCAACGUAAGUAGACUUGGGGUGGAAAUGGACUUUGGGUUGAAGUGGAGUUGGGGUGAAAAUUAGUUCACUUCUGUUGUUUGUUUAUAACUGUCGAAGUGCAGUUCUACGAGUUAUGUUGUUUGUUUGGUAGAAAAUAGAUGACGUAAAAAAUGUAGCUCUUCACCCCCGGUAUACUUACCUCCGAAGUGAUAUUAUUGUCUAUUUUGUAACUUAUAGUGAAUAAUAAAUUAUAAUAAAUGAAAAUUAAUAUAAUUAUAUAUGUAUAUAAUUAUAUAUAUGUAUAAUUAUAAAAUAAAAUUUUAAAAAAUUAUAUUAUUUGUUUGCAUAUAAAUUAUAAUAAUGCAACAAAUAAAAUUCUAAAGUUAAAAAAUUAUUAACGUUUAACAAAUUCAUUUUUCAUCAUUUUCUAAAUAUACAUAUUAAACAAAAAAUAUAUUAAAACUUAUCUAGCCAAAUUUGAUCAUAUGUUAGACAUACAAUCAAAAUAAAAAAUUUAAUUACUUCCACAAUUUAAUAUAUUUGGAUGAAAGGGUAGAAAAGAGGUAACCCUAACACAUUAAUCCCACUCUUGCCUUUUUUUCACUUCACCGGAAUUGACUUCGCCCCGUGGGAGGGCGAAGUCAAUUUCAUUAUUUUGGAUGAACUAGACUUUCGGGCGUAAUAAAAUUACGGUGAACCAAACAACGGAAGUGAGCAGUUUUCACCGAAAAUUAUUUCCCCCUUUCCACUUCCCCCCCACUUUCAUGCAAACAAAUAGGCCCUAAA
rnacentral:lncRNA from 1 species